rnacentral:rRNA from 1 species
UACAGAGGCCCCAAGCGUUAGGCGGAUCACUGGGCUUAAAGCGUGUGUAGGCGGAUCGUUAAGUGUCUUGUGAAAUCCCACGGCUCACCCGUGGAACUGCUGGGCAUACUGGCGAUCUUGGGCCAACUAGGGGCGAGUCGGAACAAGCGGUGGAGCGGUGAAAUGCGUAGAUAUCGCUUGGAACGCCGAAGGUGAAAACAGACUGCUGGGGUGCGCCGACGCUGAGACACGAAAGCCAGGGGAGCAAACGGG